rnacentral:rRNA from 1 species
ACUCCUACGGGAGGCAGCAGUGGGGAAUAUUGCACAAUGGGCGCAAGCCUGAUGCAGCCAUGCCGCGUGUGUGAAGAAGGCCUUCGGGUUGUAAAGCACUUUCAGUAAGGAGGAAAGGUUAGUAGUUAAUACCUGCUAGCUGUGACGUUACUUACAGAAGAAGCACCGGCUAACUCCGUGCCAGCAGCCGCGGUAAUACGGAGGGUGCAAGCGUUAUCCGGAUUCAUUGGGUUUAAAGGGUGCGUAGGCGGAACGGUAAGUCAGUGGUGAAAUCCUGCAGCUUAACUGUAGAACUGCCAUUGAUACUGUCGUUCUUGAGUGCGCUUGACGUGGGCGGAAUGUGCCGUGUAGCGGUGAAAUGCUUAGAUAUGGCACAGAACACCAAUUGCGAAGGCAGCUCACGAAAGCGAAACUGACGCUGAGGCACGAAAGCGUGGGGAUCGAACAGGAUUAGAUACCCUGGUAGGAUAGCGU